GGAUCUCUAUCUGGAGAUUACCUCUCUUGGAGCCCUUCUGUGAGCCCAGGACAUGGAAACUGCAUCUCUGGAGUGAAAGGAAGGAAGAAAAUAAGACUGAAGGCAAUAGAGUUACACUGAAGAUGGCUUUGGCCCAAGGGUUUAUGCAAAACAGAUUUGUGAUGUUGCAAAUUUGUAUUUUUCCUUUCUGUUUCAAAAUGGGAAAGAGCAGAAACAGUUGAUACUGUCAUGAAAUUUCAAGACUGAAACACAAAGUAUUGGAAACUUGAGUGUCCUUAAUAGUGCUAAUCCAAGCCUGCUGGACCUGUGGACCAUUUUUGCAAUCAAAUGCUUAAGAAAUGCAGUGCAGUGAACUGAAUACUAUAAUUCUAACAGGAAAUUUCUCACUAAAAUCAGUGAGAAUUUUGUCUAUGUGAGGCUUACAAGAUUGGUUAGUACUUGAAGAACAACUUUUCUUCUUCCAUAAAGAUCCUCGCUGAUGGGUUCCUAUACUUCACCAGCUUCUCUUCUUUUCCUCUGUCAGAUUACAACAGAGGAUGGCAUGCUCUGAGUGCAGCUCCAAUACGUGGCACGUGGCUGUAUCUUUUGUUCUUAAAUUACAUGACUCUUGAGACAAGAAAACCUGCCAGAAAUCAGCCUUUGGAUGAGGAAGGCCAGGUCCCAGCUGAACCAAGCAGCACAAGUAGGAACUAUACCAAAGAAGUGGGCUCACCCAGAGCAUUCAUUGAAGUGGUGCAGAGCAUUGGGCACAUGCUGGAUCUUCCACAAAGCUUGGAGAGCUGGGCAGCCUCCAUUCCUAUCAACAUCUUCCUCACCUUUCCUCCUGUGAAGAGACAAGGAACCACCAACACAACUGCAGAACCCCAUGGACUCCCGUAUCUGCACAAGGAGGAGACUGUGUGACCCUGAUCUUGGCCAGCAUAGCACAAGGCUCCCCAGCAGUCACCUGCUUGAACCUAACACAUCACGGUCAGCUUCUAGUGAUAAUACAGCAUUCCUUAAUUUUGAAAGCAAUUAUGGGUCUGAGUUCAGGUUUUUUUUUCCCCAGAUUAAAGUCAAUAAAACACUCGGACAUCCGGAUUCCAAUCACAUGCAUAUUACUAACUGUGAUAUUUGUAUCGCUGAUCCAGAAGCCAAUCACAACACUAACUCACUCUAUUGCUAAAAUAAGGAUAGCUUCCUCAUAAGCCAAAAUAACAGCCUGUUAUCCCUUCCAAAGCCACCGUUUUUCUGGCCUCGCAGGAACAAAGGAACAGGAGGUAGGCAAUACUCUUAUGGGGAAAGUAAACUAUCCCUCGCACAAGAAGCUUUUAAACCUAAGCACAUGUACUUGACAUACUCAUUUUCUGAAACUCUAUAUUUUCAUGUAUCCCUCCUCUUAUGACAUACCUCUUACAGUAUGUUGGAAUCAGUCCUGUCUUAUCAUCAUUGCCAUGGUUACCUUAUCAUCAUUACAGUAUAUAUGUGUUGCUAUAAUACUACUGUGGAUGUCAUAUCAAAAUUCCCUAAAGCAAAAUGAUCCCAGAACUUACUCUGUACACAUCUCAGGUUGCUAAGCAUUGAUAGCUUUAUUAUAUGUUUCCCAGCUAAAACAAAGUUAGCUUGUAUGCCUCUGCUGACAUACAGCUCUUUGUCCUUUCUGGUAGAAGGCAAAUUAUUCCAUGUAUCAUCUUCACUGUAAGCUACUUCCUUACAUCAAAUAAAAAUUCCACUCUUGACUGGAUAUCUCAGCAACCUGAUUUUCCUUUACUUAUAUUACUGUAUUACUAAAAUUCACAAGAAUGUUGAUACUGGAGGCAAGGAGCAUGUUAGUCAGUCAAGUUAAGCACUGUGAUAUUGCAGAUACAGAGGUCAUGAUACGAAGAUGUGGCACAGCUCAAAACCCAGGGCAGAGUAUAUACGGGCUUGGGAUAAAGAAAACCCUUUGCUAGGGUUGUGUGGCUGUGGGAUGAUCUUUCAGUGUAGAGUGGAGGAGCACAGAUGUUAACAUCUGGUUUUAAUCCAAAAUCUGUAUUACCCUCCAAUGUGCGCUGGGGACUAUGAAUGCAAAACUCUUAACAUAAGCAGAAUUCCUUAUGUGUAAUAAGGAUUUUGGUAAUGCGUUUGGCUCUAUGUGGAGGAUGCACAAGCCUUGUAUGUCACAGACUAGAUCUUGCCACAUGCUUCCACUCCUCUCUGGAUAGACUCACUCAUAGGAUGGAUUGCCCCUGCUUUUUUCAUGGCACUUUCCCACUGACGAGGUGUCUGGGGAAGCUGGGUACAGAUAUAACUUAAAUAUCUUUUACCUUCGGUGACUGAAUGCUCAUUCUUCUGAAAGACAAAAGCAAAGCCUUGACUGGAGAAGAGAAUGUGUACACACGUAAUUGUGCAUCUGUCUAUGUAACCAUGUUUUAUGUAUGGAAUC
rnacentral:lncRNA from 7 species